rnacentral:rRNA from 1 species
UUUUAGUCUUAACACAUAAACACCUAAUUAUUAAAAGCUAUAAUCUCUAAACUUAAAGGAUUUGGCGGUAAUCUAGUCCAGUUAGAGGAACCUGUUAAAGAAACGAUACACCACGCAAUAUCUUACCUGUCCCAAAAGUUUGUAUACCGUCAUUCUCAGAUAACUCUAAGAAGAGAAGUUAUUUCAAUAAGCCCUUCUACUUUACAUAUUAGAUCAAGGUGCAGCCUAUGUUCAGGUCGUAAUGGGUUACAAUAAAAUUUAUUUACUUAUGAAUUUUAAACAGAAUUGUUUUUAUGAAAGAGGAUUUAAUAGUAAACAUAGUUUAAUAAGCUAAUUUGAUAAAGGAUCUAGAUUGAGUACAUAUCGCCCGUCGCUUUCAUUACCAAAUGAAAUAAGUCGUAACAUAG